GCUGCGCUGGUAUAUUUUUUCGCAUCACCUCUUCGCCCGCGAUCACAAACACGACCAACAAGGGUUUGCUACCCGACAUUUAUGUUCACCUUAUGGUAAGGGUGGCAGAAAUGACGGUCGCGUAUAAUCAUGGAAGAUAAACAUUGGGACAAUUUUCUCGCAUCAAAUGAGGCUAACGUUAUAUGAGUUUAGAGGAGAGCCGCUACGUGUGUCUCCCAUACCGACCCCCUCCUCCUCCGCUGGCAAUUUAUAAAGAACAAAAAAUCAGACUAGGGAGGGGGUUGAUACUCCGAAGCUGAAAUCGAGAGGCGAACCCAGUUAAGGAGUAUUUUUUUUACACGGGACUUCCCCAAAAGGAGGGGGAAAAGUCACAAUUGUGGAAUCUAAAAGAAAAUUAAGGUUCAAAAUACGUGAGAACGUCUCCCGUUGUGGAUUCCGUAUAUAUUUUUAAUUCGAGAAAAUAUGGCCGAGAACGUUCUGGACUCUGGCCCGCCUUCAGCCAAGAGGCCUAAACUAUCCUCUCCGGCACUUUCUGCCUCCGCCAGCGAUGGAAACGAUUUCGGCUCAUUGUUCGACCUGGAGCACGACCUCCCUGACGAGCUCAUCAAUUCCUCGGAGUUGGGCCUGGUCAACGGAGGGGACCUCAGCCAGCUGCACACCAGUCUGGGGGGAGGCGGUGGAAUGGGCCUGGGAGGGGGGGGUGGCCAGGAUGCGGUGGCCAAGCACAAGCAGCUCUCAGAGCUCCUUCGAUCAGGCGCUCCACAUGCCUCCACACAGCAGGGCCAGGGUGUGGUGGGCAGCCCAGGCGGGGCCAGCAUGGGCCACCUGGGGAACAUGAAGGUAUCCCCUGGGCCCCAGGGCAUGGGCCAGCAGCAACACCUCUCACCCCAGCAGCAGGCCAGCAUGAUGCAGCAGCAGGUGGGUAUGGUGGGUGCCAUGAACAGGGGCAUGAUUGGGGCCCAGAAGGGCAACGGACAGCAGCAGCAAGCCAUGAUGGGGGGGCCGGUGAUGAACGGAUCCCCCAGGAUGAGCUUCUCAAACCAGGGGAUGGUGGGGAACAGUAACAUGUUGGCUGAGACUCUGCAGCAGCAGGGCGCCGGGGGACAGGCUGGACUCAGAGUACAGCAACCUGGAGCACUGAAUAAGAUGGGUAUGGCGGGUAACCCAGGCCCUUAUGGAGUCCCCUAUGGUGAGCAGCAGGCAGGCCAGGGGCUGGGGGGAGCAGGGCUGGGCCCUCCGCUCCAGAACAAAGGCUCCAUGCCCAACAGCCUGGCCCAGUUCAGCAUGGACAAGAAGAGCCAGCCCAUGCAGGGCAUGGCUGCCAUGGCCACACAGCAGUCUGCCACAGGUGUGGGCGGUGGAGCCGGAGGCACUGCAGGGUUGGUCCCCAACGCCCAGGGAGGCCUGGGGCCCGCCGUGUCUGCAGCAGCUGGGGCGCCCCCUACGGCCGACCCCGAGAAGCGCAAGCUGAUCCAGCAGCAGCUGGUACUCCUGCUCCAUGCACACAAGUGCCAGCGUAGGGAGCAAGCCAACGGGGAGGUGCGCCAGUGCAACUUGCCACACUGCCGCACCAUGAAGAACGUCCUCAACCACAUGACCCACUGCCAGGCCGGCAAGUCCUGCCAGGUGGCUCACUGUGCGUCAUCCAGACAGAUCAUCUCUCACUGGAAGAACUGUACACGGCACGACUGUCCUGUCUGCCUGCCGCUCAAGAAUGCCGGGGACAAGAGGAACCAGCAGUCUCUGCUAGGAGGUGCUGGUGUAGGUCUGGGUAGUUCCCUGGGCUUGGUGCCCGGAGGCCAGCCCAGCUCCGCCAAUCUCAACCCCCCCAGCCAGAUCGAUCCCAGCUCAAUUGAAAGGGCCUAUGCCGCCCUGGGCCUCACUUACCAGGGUACCCAGAUCCAGAGCCAGCCCAACCAGGCUUCUCUGCCCUCACAGGGUCUGCAGGGACAACCGGGCAUGAGGCCGCUCAACCCUAUGGGGGGUAACCCAAUGGGGGUGAAUGGAGGAAUGGGUGUUUCACCCCAGAACCAGCAGGCCAGUCUGCUGCAGGAUACCAUGCUCCACCUCAACAUGAACUCCCAGGGUCUGAUGAAUGAUGCGGGUGGGACGGGUAACAUGGGCUCCAUGCCCAUGGCGACCCCACCCUCUGCAGCGGGUAUGAGGAAGAGUUGGCAUGAGGACAUCACCCAGGACCUGAGGAACCACCUGGUGCACAAACUGGUGCAAGCUAUCUUCCCGACCCCGGACCCCGCUGCUCUAAAAGACCGGCGGAUGGAGAACCUGGUGGCGUAUGCUAGAAAGGUGGAGGGGGACAUGUAUGAGUCAGCCAACAGCAGGGCGGAGUACUACCACCUGUUGGCUGAGAAGAUCUAUAAGAUCCAAAAGGAAUUGGAGGAGAAAAGGCGAACGCGGCUCCAAAAGCAGGAUGGUCCCCUCCCUGACCCCUCUCUGGUGCGGCCCGGUGGACCCAACCAGAUGGUGACUAGGAUGCAGAAUCCGGCAGGUAUGAACCAGUUCAACCAGAUGGGGAUGCAGUCUAUGGGCCAGAGGUCCACCCCUCCUCUCCCCCUCACACCCAUCAACCAGAUGGGCAUGGGGAACCCCAGGAUGGGCCAGCCCAACGUGGGCCAGAACCAGUACCUUCCCCAGGGACAGUUCCCAGGCUCCAGCCCAGGACCAGGCCUUGGCACGGGGCAGCCCGGCAUGGCACAGCCCGGCAUGAACCAGCAAGGCAACCAGGGAGGCAUGGCACAGACUCCAAUGCCCAUUCCUUCCCCUCUCCCCGCCAACAGCCCUCUAGCCGGGCCCGGUUCGGUCGGAGGGGGUAGCGGUGUCCCCUCGGUGGGGCCCAUGGGUCCCCAGAGUGUGGGUGGAGGCCCUUCGUCCAACAACCCCCAGCAGCCCAACUCAAUAACCCACCUCUCGGCCAUGCGCCAGAGCUCGCCCUCCCCCGCCCGCAGCAUCACCCCCACACCCCACCAAACACCACCCAGGCUAGCAGGCUCACAGACCCCCCAGCCCCACACCCCUAACCCGCCCCAGCUGCCCCCCCCAGGCCCCCAGCAGCAGCUAGGGCCCGGCAGCCAGGGGCCAGGCUCCAAUAAGCCCAUGCAGCAGGGAAUGGGAGCAGGGGCCACCACGCCAUCUCACCCUGGUCACCUCUCCACAACACCCAACCCCCAUGGGGCCCAGCUCCCUCGCACGCCUCGCACUCCGAUGUCCCAGAAGGGUGGCUUCCAGUCGCAGGACUGUCAGGCUCUGACCCCAGCGUCAGUCAGCAGUGUGGACACGGCCUCCCAGCAGGCUUCCCAGUCGGACGCCUCGGCCUCCGUGGACCCAAAGGCGGAGGUCAAGCAGCAGCAGGACGAGGAGGACGACUGGGAGGAAGGCUGCUCCAAGGGGGGGAAGCUAUCCAACAUCAAGACUGAGAACAAACCCAUCAAAAUGGAGGGGGUGAAGAAAGAGGAGUGUGGAGGCCAAGGGGGCAAAGGUGUUCCCAUGGAAACGUUGUCAUCGUCGGGGGUUAAGAGUGAGGAAAGGGUGAAGAUGGAAGACCGGAAACCGGAGGUGAAGAAGGAGCCGAAAGAGGAGGAGAAGGGAUCAGAUUCCCCUGGUAUUCCGUCUGGUGCCCAGAGCAAGAAGAAGAUCUUCAAGCCAGAGGAGCUGCGCCAGGCGUUGAUGCCUACCCUGGAGUCUCUGUAUCGCCAGGACCCAGAGUCUCUGCCCUUCAGACAGCCUGUGGACCCUCAUCUACUGGGCAUACCUGACUACUUUGACAUAGUGAAGACCCCAAUGGACCUGUCCACUAUAAAGCGUAAGCUGGACACUGGUCAGUACCAGGAACCCUGGCAAUACGUGGAUGACAUCUGGGUCAUGUUGAACAACGCCUGGCUGUACAACCGCAAGACGUCCCGCGUCUACAAGUACUGCUCCAAGCUGGCCGAGGUGUUCGAGGCUGAGAUAGACCCUGUCAUGGUCAGCCUGGGCUACUGCUGUGGCAGGAAGUUGGAGUUCUCUCCCCAGACGUUGUGCUGCUAUGGGAAGCAGCUGUGCACUAUUCCCCGGGACGCUGCCUACUUCAGCUACCAGAACAGGUACCACUUCUGUGAGAAGUGCUUCAACGAAAUCCAGGGGGACAACGUGUCCCUGGGAGACGACCCCUCCCAGCCUCCGACUUCCAUCGGUAAAGAUCAGUUUGAGAAGAAGAAGAAUGACACACUGGAUCCUGAAUUACUUGUGGAAUGUAUGGACUGCGGACGUAAGAUGCACCAGAUCUGUGUCCUGCACAACGACACUAUCUGGCCGUUAGGUUUUAAUUGUGAUGGCUGCUUAAAGAAGUUGAAUAAGACGCGGAGAGAGAACAAGUAUGCUGCCAAAAGGUUGCCCCACACUAAGCUGGGCUGUUAUUUGGAGACUAGAGUGAAUGACUACCUGAAGCGUCAGAGCCACCCUGAGUCGGGUGACGUCACCAUCCGAGUGGUCCACGUCUCAGACAAGGUGGUGGAGGUCAAACCAGGCAUGAAGUCCAGGUUUGUGGACACUGGGGAGAUGUGUGAGUCAUUCCCAUACAGAACGAAAGCCCUGUUUGCGUUUGAGGACAUCGAUGGAGCUGAUGUCUGCUUCUUCGGCAUGCAUGUACAGGAGUACGGCUCGGACUGCCCUCCUCCCAAUCAGAGACGCGUGUACAUCUCGUACCUGGACAGUGUUCACUUCUUCCAGCCUCGUUCUCUGAGGACAGGCGUCUACCAUGAGAUUCUCAUUGGCUAUCUGGAGUAUGUCAAGAAGCUGGGGUACACGACGGGUCACAUCUGGGCGUGCCCACCUAGUGAAGGGGACGACUACAUCUUCCACUGUCACCCUAUGGACCAGAAGAUCCCCAAGCCCAAGAGGCUUCAGGAGUGGUAUAGGAAGAUGCUGGACAAGGCUGUGGCAGAGCGUAUUGUGCAUGACUUCAAGGACAUCUUCAAGCAGGCCACGGAGGACCGUCUGACAAGUGC